AUCUCUUUGCCUUUUGGCUUAGAUCAAGUGUAGUAUCUGUUCUUUUCAGUGUAACAGCUGAAACGUCAUCAUUGAUGACUUUACUAAUUGUUACCUUUAUUUUUGGACUACCAGCUGGCAGGCUUGAUGGGCUUGCUCACACCUACCAGCACAGUGUCGAUGCCAUUGCACACCCCGGUUUCUGACGCAAAUCUUU
rnacentral:snRNA from 20 species